UGAAACUGUAUCAGAAGCUGUCCUGCCAUGGGUGUGUGAGCAAGACAAAAGGUGAGAUUCUCAUUUCAGGGGUAGUGUUGCCUUAUACUGGUGUGUGGCUUAGUGGUGUAAAGCUUAAAGCACAAAUGCAGGGUUGGAGGUUAAACAAAUUUGGAAACGAGCAACCUGUGAGGUAUGCAGGAGCUGUGGUGUGAGAAGUCCUGAGGAGAAAGAACAAAGCUUUGGUAGUGAACGGUCCAUUGUGGGCAAUACUCUUAUGAUGACAAAAGCAUGUAAAUGUGAAUGAUGAGUUGUAAAACCUCAUUGCCAUUCUGAAGGAGAGAAGUAAUUGUAGCUUCACCUUUGAAGUGCUUAAGAUGACUUGUGUGGGGAAAAUAGCAGGCAUGUAAACAAGCUUUCUUACAAGUGAGAGAUGAGCAUAAAAGCUGAUUUAUGCCAAUCAUCAUAUUGGAAGGUUAUUCUUAAGAAGGGUGUGUUUUGGCUGCCAGAAACAGAAGAACCCUGCCCUCAGCUCUGGGAAUUUUGUGGUGCUUCAUUUAUGAAGCUGUGGAAGGUGGGAGAAAGGCACAAAACAACACUGCUGAAGUUAGAAAUGAAAGACCUGCCCGAGCCAGAUUAAUAUACGGCAAAACUGCAAAGCAAUGGAGGAAACCCUGAAUAUAGGGGAAGAAGUAUUUGAAUGUCUGCCUUCUAGUUCUUGCUGCUGUCUUGAUAAGGUAAAUUAUUUGUAGAUAACCUAUUUACAAAUUUAUAAUACACUACAGUGUCAUCAUGCCAAACCUAAACCCAGGGAGAGCAGGGAGUAGAGUCCAUCUGACAAGUUCUCAGCAUCAUUUUAUUGAAAACAUGAAACAUUUCAAUCUUGAACUCGUAAAUGCAGCAGACAUUGUGUUGUCUUCGGUAUUUUUUCUUGGCUUAUUGAGAAGCUAUGGAAAGUAUUACACUAAAGAGUGGGAAUUCUAUUAGGAUGGAGGAGGAGAUAUUGCCAUGUACAGUGUUCAUUAUUAAAUUAAAAAAAAAGGCACUUGCUAUGCUGCUUGCCUAAGUUUAUAUUAAAAAACCCCAACAAAACAACAAACCCAAAAUAUGUCUCCAGAAAAGAGUGGUAAUACCAAAAGACGUUAAACAUGUCCACAGAGUACAUUCAUAUGUAAAAAGACAGUAAUAAAGUUAUCACCUAAUAACUUAAGCA
rnacentral:lncRNA from 14 species